rnacentral:lncRNA from 1 species
UCUCGCAGACGAGAACGGUGACGUCGUGACUUUCUGCUCCUACGACAACCCCACCUGCAGGAUACACUGCUCUGUUUGGGGUUCCGAUAUUUCCAGAAUAGAACUCAGGAAAAUUCACCCGAGUGGACGAGCCACACCCCUCGACUAUUGGAGCUACUCUGUACGACAGACACGGUUCAAGUUCUUCAAGAGAGUGGACGCCUACGUGCCGUCCUCCCGUGACGUGAGCCAGAGGUACCAGUGUGUGGCCUGGGGCAGUCUGGGUUAGUCCAUCACAAGGAACUACACGCUGGAACCUUUCCUCAAGGCCAGGAUUGUGGAGGGGGAGUCGUCGCUUGUCAGGCACGGGGACAGGAUGGCCAAUCUGACGUGCACAGUUACAGGUGACCCUAUCUCCAACAUAACCUUUAACCUGUCGUACAACUUCGAGUACCUCCAAAACCAGCUGCCAGACCAGGUGUACGACCACAACGGCACCACAGUGGCCGUGAAGCAGAUCGUCUACGACGACGGGGACGAGUACGGGUCGACCGCGGAGAGCACAGGAGUUCUAUACGACGCAGCUUGUUCUGUCACGCAGAACGUUCUCGGAACGGAAGAAUUUCCAAACACCGAAACGUAUUAUUACCCCUCGCCUUAACUUUUUAAACUCUUCACCACUGAACAAAACACUUGUCAUUAUAGCUAAGAAAUAUUGAAACAUACAAUUACCCUUCACUUUAGCUCUUUCACACUUUCACUGUUGAACAAAAUGUUUGUCUUAAAAAAUAAGUUAGCUCUUAAGUAUAAUUAUGAGAAAAAGGAUGAAGGGGAGAGGAGUUUACGUUGUACCUCGGUAUCUGGUUCUCAUUUUCCAAAGAGCAAAACUUUAUUAACAGAAUAUAGUUCGCUCUUCGGUCUUCCGUUUUCUUGGAAAGGAAGACUUUCCAAAGAUUGAAGCACACUAUUACCCUUCGCCUAAACUCUGUAACCUCUUCACUGCUGAAAAAAAAAAACCUUUGCCAUCGAACCUAGGAAUAUUGAAAAAUACGAUUACCCUUCGCCUUUACUUUUUAACCUCUUCACUUCACUAUUGACCAAGACAAAACACUUGCCAUCUAACCUGAGUAACGUUGACACACACUAUUACCCUUUGCCUUAAGUUUUUAAACCUCUUUAUUGUUGAGCGAAACGUGUCAUCCAACCAAAGGAAAGUUGAAACAUACCAAAUAUUAUUACCCUUUGCCUUAAGUUUUUAAACCUCUUUAUUGUUGAGCGAAACGUGUCAUCCAAUCAAAGGAAAGUUGAAACAUACCAAAUAUUAUUACCCUUUGCCUUAAGUUUUUAAACCUCUUUAUUGUUGAGCGAAACGCUUACGUGUGUCAUCCAACCAAAGGAAAGUUGAAACAUACCAAAUAUCAUUACCUUUCGCCUUAAGUUUUUAACCUCUUCAUUGUUGAACAAAACAUUUGUCACCAAACCUUAGUAAACUCUGCGGUGUUAAAGGAAAGAGGAGAAAGGGGAGAGGGCGAUACCUUGUACAUGGGUAUGCAAUUCACAAUAACCAAAGAGCAGAAGUCUGCUAAUAUUAGGAUUUAGUUGGCUCUCCCCAAUGUGUGUAUCGGGUGGUUUUACUAAGCGUUCACGGCACAGUGGUGGGAGGGGGAAGGACGUAGCGGGCACAAACCGUCGGCCAACCGUUCAAAAGUGCUAACUCAGUCAAAAAUU